AUCGGUGACAGGUGCUGCAUGGCUGUCGUCAGCUCGUGUCGUGAGAUGUUGGGUUAAGUCCCGCAACGAGCGCAACCCUUAUCAUUAGUUGCUACGCAAGGGCACUCUAAUGAGACUGCCGGUGGACAAACCGGGAGGAAGGUGGGGAUGACGUCAAGUCCUCAUGGCCCUUAUGGGUAGGGCUUCACACGUCAUACAAUGGUCGGUACAGAGGGUUGCCAAGCCGCGAGGCGGAGCCAAUCCCACAAAGCCGAUCGUAGUCCGGAUUGUUCUCUGCAACUCGAGAGCAUGAAGUCGGAAUCGCUAGUAAUCGCAGGUCAGCAUACUGCGGUGAAUACGUUCCCGGGUCUU
rnacentral:rRNA from 1 species